AUGUGUAGACCCGAUGACAUCAACAUACAAGAUGACAAGUUCUACCUAGGAGAUGUUGGCUAUGCAUGUCGGCCAGGUGUUCUUCCACCCUUCAGGCAAACCAAGUACCAUCUGAACGAGUUCUCUGGUAGAAACUAUCCUAGGACUCCUCAGGAACUAUUCAAUCUCAGACACUCCAACCUUAGAGUAAUGGUUGAGAGGGCAUUUGGAGCUUUGAAAAACAGGUUUAAAAUCCUAGACCAGAGGUCAUUCCAGCCUUACCCUACCCAGCUUAAGCUUGUUCUUGCAUGUUGCAUCCUUCACAACUGGAUCCUACAAUGGGGUUGUGAUGAUCUUGUGCUGGAGGAAGAAGAUGUGACGCCUGAUGAGGUGGUCAGCUCCAACCAUGGUGUGAAGGUGUUUGACAACGAAGCAUGGAAGAACAAAAUGUUGGAGUGGACUCAGGCAAUGUGGGAUAACAGAGGUCAGACAUGGAUCUGA
rnacentral:rRNA from 1 species